CCCAAAUGCACACUUGCACGAUACAAUCGCAAACCUGAUAUCCCAAUGAUUUUGUCUUUUCAAAAACCCUAGAUCAUCAUUUAUCUCUUCUGCCGUUUUGGAAAAUGGCGUCUCGCUAUAGAUCUCUCUCAAGGUCGAGUCUUUCUCUGCUCAAAUCCGCUGGCUCAAAUCCGCUGUGAACAAGCCGAACAAGCCCGCCCUUAAACCCAACCCCUUACCUUCCUCACAGCUCUCGUCUCGCUCUUUUCUUAAAUUUUCAAGGUCAGUUCCUCAGUUGGGUGCUCUCCAAUCUCUGCUUCCCCUGCAUUCGGCCGUCUCUUCAGCUCGGUUAACCUCGUGCCUCGGCAUUGAUUCGAGGAGCUCCCGCUCGUUGUCUCAGG
rnacentral:misc_RNA from 1 species